rnacentral:tRNA from 5 species
CGGGCUGUGGCGCAGUUUGGUAGCGCACCUGCUUUGGGAGCAGGGGGCCGCGGGUUCAAAUCCCGCCAGCCCGACCG